AUUGAACGCUGGCGGCAUGCCUUACACAUGCAAGUCGAACGGUAACGGGCCUUCGGGUGCCGACGAGUGGCGAACGGGUGAGUAAUGCAUCGGAACGUACCUUUCAGAGGGGGAUAACGUAGCGAAAGUUACGCUAAUACAGCAUAUUCUGUGAGCAGGAAAGCAGGGGAUCGCAAGACCUUGCGUUGAUUGAGCGGCCGAUGUCAGAUUGGCUAGUUGGUGAGGUAAAGGCUCACCAAGGCGACGAUCUGUAGCGGGUCUGAGAGGAUGAUCCGCCACACUGGAACUUAGACACGGUCCAGACUCCUACGGGAGGCAGCAGUGGGGAAUUUUGGACUAUGGGGGCAACCCUGAUCCAGCCAUGCCGCGUGAGUGAAGAAGGCCUUCGGGUUGUAAAGCUCUUUCGGCCGGGAAGAAAUCGCAUGGGCUAAUACCCUGUGCGGAUGACGGUACCGGCAUAAGAAGCACCGGCUAACUACGUGCCAGCCGCCGCAGUAACAC
rnacentral:rRNA from 1 species